rnacentral:rRNA from 1 species
UACGUAGGGUGCAAGCGUUGUCCGGAAUUACUGGGCGUAAAGAGCUCGUAGGUGGUUUGUCGCGUUGUUCGUGAAAACUCACAGCUCAACUGUGGGCGUGCGGGCGAUACGGGCAGACUGGAGUACUGCAGGGGAGACUGGAAUUCCUGGUGUAGCGGUGGAAUGCGCAGAUAUCAGGAGGAACACCGGUGGCGAAGGCGGGUCUCUGGGCAGUAACUGACGCUGAGGAGCGAAAGCGUGGGGGAGCGAACAGG